GCCGCGGUUCUACCCAAGACAAAGUUCACAAUCCGCGGGUUCGGGUCCAGGACCUUCUCCUUCAACCCGGGUCCGUUUAACGUGAAGGAGCACGUGCUCAUUACCAUGUUCGCCAACGCCGGAAGCGCUUUCGGAAACGGGUCUCCGUACGCAGUUGGCAUCGUUAACAUUAUCAAAGCCUUUUACGGACGCAGCAUCUCCUUUUCCGCCUCUUGGCUUCUCAUCGUUACUACACAGGUGUUAGGAUACGGGUGGGCUGGGAUACUGAGGAAAUACGUGGUUGAACCAGCCCAUAUGUGGUGGCCCAGCACCCUCGUCCAAGUAUCGCUUUUCCGAGCAAUGCAUGAGACAGAUGACAAUAGAGCAAGAACAAAGUUUUUCUUCUUUGCACACUUAUGCAGUAUUUUGUGGUACGCGGUCCCUGGAUACUUGUUCACAACGCUCACAAAUAUCUCAUGGGUGUGUUGGAUAUUCUCCAAGUCAGUUACAGCUCAGCAAAUAGGGUCAGGCAUGAGGGGGCUUGGAGUUGGAGUCCUCACACUUGAUUGGGCUGCUGUGGCAUCAUUCUUGCUCAGCCCUCUUAUAUCACCCUUCUUUGUCAUUGCCAAUGUUUUUGUGGGCUAUGCAUUGA
rnacentral:sRNA from 1 species